CGUUCCGCACCACGACAUGCAAGUGCCGACAGGUUACAUUACUUGAAGCCUCUCAAACCACACGCACAUACAUUACCUCUCCCAUCCGCCGCUGGCGUAGCCGCCGUCGUGCGCCAGGGGCACGGCCCCCACCGCGCGGCGCUGCGGCUGCACCUGCCCCGUCUCCGCGGCGGCGGCAGCAGAGGCACAGUCAGAGGAGUCCAGCAUCAUCCUUCCCGUGACUGCCCGGAAUCCGCGCCAGCCGUGUCCGUGCCGAGGAGUCACGCGUACAUCCGCCUCGUGGCCACACAGGAUCCUGGGCCCCCGGCGCCUGCCCGCAGACGCCGCCGCACUCAGGACCAGCGCCCUCAGGAGGCUACCGAUGCAUACCAUCUCAUGGCUGCUGGCUCUACCACUCGCUUGCCCAGA
rnacentral:misc_RNA from 1 species